UACGGGGGGAGCAAGCGUUGUUCGGAUUUACUGGGCGUAAAGGGCGCGUAGGCGGCCACCGCAAGUCGACUGUGAAAUCUCCGGGCUUAACCCGGAAAGGUCAGCCGAUACUGCGGGGCUAGAGUGCAGAAGGGGCAACUGGAAUUCUCGGUGUAGCGGUGAAAUGCGUAGAUAUCGAGAGGAACACCUGUGGCGAAGGCGGGUCUCUGGGCCGAUACUGACGCUGAGGAGCGAAAGCGUGGGGAGCGAACAGG
rnacentral:rRNA from 1 species